rnacentral:rRNA from 1 species
AGCCUUAGGAAUAGAUCUAAGGUUAUACCUGCCCAAUGUGAUAUUAUAAUGAAUGGCCGCGGUACUCUGACCGUGCUAAGGUAGCGCAAUCAAUUGGCUCUUAAUUGGGGUCAGGAAUGAAUGGAGUUUACGUGGUUCAGCUGUCUUUUAGUUAAUAUAUUGAAAUUACUAUGUAAGUGAAAAAGCUUAUUAUUUGAAAAAGGACGAGAAGACCCUUAGAGUUUUGCUUAAUGUGAACAGUUUAUGUUAAGGUUCACAAUGGUUUUGUUGGGGCAACAUAGGAGCAAUAGAAAAAAGCGAAAAUCUCCUAAAUUUUACUUACCGAAAUAUUAAAUCUGAAUAAACUACCUUAGGGAUAACAGCAUAAUUUAAAAAAUAAGUUUGUGACCUCGAUGUUGGACUAGGAAACUUAAAGGCUAGCCGUCUUUAAGGAAAGUUCUGUUCGAACUGUAAUUCCU